GACGAACGCUGGCGGCGUGCUUAACACAUGCAAGUCGAACGGUAAGGCCCUUCGGGGUACACGAGUGGCGAACGGGUGAGUAACACGUGGGUGAUCUGCCCUGCACUUCGGGAUAAGCCUGGGAAACAGGGUCUAAUACCGGAUAGGACCACUGCCUGCAUGGGUGGUGGUGGAAAGCUUUUGCGGUGUGGGAUGGGCCCGCGGCCUAUCAGCUUGUUGGUGGGGUGAUGGCCUACCAAGGCGACGACGGGUAGCCGGCCUGAGAGGGUGACCGGCCACACUGGGACUGAGAUUCGGCCCAGACUGCUACGGGAGGCAGCAGUGGGGAAUAUUGCAGAAUGGGCGCAAGCCUGAUGCAGCGACGCCGCGUGAGGGAUGACGGCCUUCGGGUUGUAAACCUCUUUCAGCACCGACGAAGCGCAAGUGACGGUAGGUGCAGAAGAAGGACCGGCCAACUACGUGCCAGCCGCCGCCGUAA
rnacentral:rRNA from 1 species